GAUGAACGCUGGCGGCGUGCCUAAUACAUGCAAGUCGAGCGAACGGACGAGAAGCUUGCUUCUCUGAUGUUAGCGGCGGACGGGUGAGUAACACGUGGGUAACCUACCGAUAAGACUGGGAUAAAUUCGGGAAACCGGAGCUAAUACCGGAUGUUAUUUUGAAUCGCAUGGUUCAAAAGUGAAAGACGGUCUUGCUGUCACUUAUAGAUAGAACCGCGCUGCAUUAGCUAGUUGGUAAGGUAACGGCUUACCAAGGCAACGAUGCAUAGCCGACCUGAGAGGGUGAUCGACCACACUGGAACUGAGACACGUUCCAGACUCCUACGGGAGGCAGCAGUAGGGAAUCUUCCGCAAUGGGCGAGAGCCUGACGGAGCAACGCCGCGUGAGUGAUGAAGGUCUUCGGAUCGUAAAACUCUGAUAUUAGGGAAGAACAUAUGUGUAAGUAACUGUGCACAUCUUGACGGUACCUAAUCAGAAAGCCACGGCUAACUACGUG
rnacentral:rRNA from 1 species